rnacentral:lncRNA from 1 species
GUAGUUGGUCCAGGUCAGGUCAGUGUGUUAUAUAGUAGUUGGUCCAGGUCAGUGUGUUAUAUAGUAGUUGGUCCAGGUCAGUGUGUUAUAUAGUAGUUGGUCCAGGUCAGAUCAGUGUGUUAUAUAGUAGUUGGUCCAGGACAGGUCAGUGUGUUAUAUAGUAGUUGGUCCAGGUCAAGUCAGUAUGUUAUAUAGUAGUUGGUCCCGGUCAGGUCAGUGUGUUAUAUAGUAGUGUGUCCAGGUCAGUGUGUUAUAUAGUAGUUGGUCCAGGUCAGACCAGUGUGUUAUAUAGUAGUUGGUCCAGGUCAGAUCAGUGUGUUAUAUAGUAGUUGGUCCAGAUCAGUGUGUUAUAUAGUAGUUGGUCCAGGUCAGAUCAGUGUGUUAUAUAGUUGUUGGUCCAGGUCAGAUCAGUGUGUUAUAUAGUAGUUGGUCCCGGUCAGGUCAGUGUGUUAUAUAGUAGUGUGUCCAGGUCAGUGUGUUAUAUAGUAGUUGGUCCAGGUCAGG